CUGCCCAUCAGAAGGGGAUAACACUUGGAAACAGGUGCUAAUACCGUAUAACAAUCGAAACCGCAUGGUUUUGAUUUGAAAGGCGCUUUCGGGUGUCGCUGAUGGAUGGACCCGCGGUGCAUUAGCUAGUUGGUGAGGUAACGGCUCACCAAGGCCACGAUGCAUAGCCGACCUGAGAGGGUGAUCGGCCACAUUGGGACUGAGACACGGCCCAAACUCCUACGGGAGGCAGCAGUAGGGAAUCUUCGGCAAUGGACGAAAGUCUGACCGAGCAACGCCGCGUGAGUGAAGAAGGUUUUCGGAUCGUAAAACUCUGUUGUUAGAGAAGAACAAGGAUGAGAGUAACUGUUCAUCCCUUGACGGUAUCUAACCAGAAAGCCACGGCUAACUACGUGCCAGCAGCCGCGGUAAUACGUAGGUGGCAAGCGUUGUCCGGAUUUAUUGGGCGUAAAGCGAGCGCAGGCGGUUUCUUAAGUCUGAUGUGAAAGCCCCCGGCUCAACCGGGGAGGGUCAUUGGAAACUGGGAGACUUGAGUGCAGAAGAGGAGAGUGGAAUUCCAUGUGUAGCGGUGAAAUGCGUAGAUAUAUGGAGGAACACCAGUGGCGAAGGCGGCUCUCUGGUCUGUAACUGACGCUGAGGCUCGAAAGCGUGGGGAGCAAACAGGAUUAGAUACCCUGGUAGUCCACGCCGUAAACGAUGAGUGCUAAGUGUUGGAGGGUUUCCGCCCUUCAGUGCUGCAGCUAACGCAUUAAGCACUCCGCCUGGGGAGUACGACCGCAAGGUUGAAACUCAAAGGAAUUGACGGGGGCCCGCACAAGCGGUGGAGCAUGUGGUUUAAUUCGAAGCAACGCGAAGAACCUUACCAGGUCUUGACAUCCUUUGACCACUCUAGAGAUAGAGCUUCCCCUUCGGGGGCAAAGUGACAGGUGGUGCAUGGUUGUCGUCAGCUCGUGUCGUGAGAUGUUGGGUUAAGUCCCGCAACGAGCGCAACCCUUAUUGUUAGUUGCCAUCAUUCAGUUGGGCACUCUAGCAAGACUGCCGGUGACAAACCGGAGGAAGGUGGGGAUGACGUCAAAUCAUCAUGCCCCUUAUGACCUGGGCUACACACGUGCUACAAUGGGAAGUACAACGAGUUGCGAAGUCGCGAGGCUAAGCUAAUCUCUUAAAGCUUCUCUCAGUUCGGAUUGCAGGCUGCAACUCGCCUGCAUGAAGCCGGAAUCGCUAGUAAUCGCGGAUCAG
rnacentral:rRNA from 1 species